rnacentral:misc_RNA from 1 species
UCCGGUUUAUCACCGGCAGUCUCCAUAGAGUUCUCGCCAUUACACGUUAGUAACUAUGAAUAAGGGUUGCGCUCGUUGCGGGACUUAACCCAACAUCUCACGACACGAGCUGACGACAGCCAUGCACCACCUGUGCACAGGCCCCGAAGGGCUGCCGUAUUUCUACGACAUUCCUGUGCAUGUCAAGCCUCGGUAAGGUUCUUCGCGUUGCGUCGAAUUGAACCACAUGCUCCGCUGCUUGUGGGGGCCCCCGUCAAUUCCUUUGAGUUUCAGCCUUGCGGCCGUACUCCCCAGGCGGGGUACUUAGUGCGUUAGCUGCGGCGCUGAACGUGUCGAAACGCCCAGCACCUAGUACCCAUCGUUUACGGCGUGGACUAC